rnacentral:rRNA from 2 species
GUAGUCAUAUGCUUGUCUCAAAGAUUAAGCCAUGCAUGUCUAAGUGUAAGCAAUUUAUACUGUGAAACUGCGAAUGGCUCAUUAAAUCAGUUAUCGUUUAUUUGAUAGUACCUUACUACAUGGAUACCUGUGGUAAUUCUAGAGCUAAUACAUGCUAAAAACCCCGACUUCGGAAGGGGUGUAUUUAUUAGAUAAAAAACCAACGCCCUUCGGGGCUCCUUGGUGAAUCAUAAUAACUAAACGAAUCGCAUGGCCUUGCGCCGGCGAUGGUUCAUUCAAAUUUCUGCCCUAUCAACUUUCGAUGGUAGGAUAGUGGCCUACCAUGGUGGCAACGGGUAACGGGGAAUUAGGGUUCGAUUCCGGAGAGGGAGCCUGAGAAACGGCUACCACAUCCAAGGAAGGCAGCAGGCGCGCAAAUUACCCAAUCCCGACACGGGGAGGUAGUGACAAUAAAUACUGAUACGGGGCUCUUUCGGGUCUCGUAAUCGGAAUGAGAACGACCUAAAUAACCUAACGAGGAACAAUUGGAGGGCAAGUCUGGUGCCAGCAGCCGCGGUAAUUCCAGCUCCAAUAGCGUAUAUUAAAGUUGUUGCAGUUAAAAAGCUCGUAGUUGAACCUUGGGUCUGGCUGGCCGGUCCGCCUCACCGCGAGUACUGGUCCGGCCGGACCUUUCCUUCUGGGGAACCUCAUGGCCUUCACUGGCUGUGGGGGGAACCAGGACUUUUACUGUGAAAAAAUUAGAGUGUUCAAAGCAGGCCUUUGCUCGAAUACAUUAGCAUGGAAUAAUAGAAUAGGACGUGCGGUUCUAUUUUGUUGGUUUCUAGGACCGCCGUAAUGAUUAAUAGGGAUAGUCGGGGGCGUCAGUAUUCAGCUGUCAGAGGUGAAAUUCUUGGAUUUGCUGAAGACUAACUACUGCGAAAGCAUUCGCCAAGGAUGUUUUCAUUAAUCAGGGAACGAAAGUUAGGGGAUCGAAGACGAUCAGAUACCGUCGUAGUCUUAACCAUAAACUAUGCCGACUAGGGAUCGGACGGGUUUCUAUGAUGACCCGUUCGGCACCUUACGAGAAAUCAAAGUUUUUGGGUUCUGGGGGGAGUAUGGUCGCAAGGCUGAAACUUAAAGGAAUUGACGGAAG